rnacentral:rRNA from 1 species
UACGGAGGGUGCAAGCGUUAUCCGGAUUUACUGGGUUUAAAGGGUGCGUAGGCGGGCUUUUAAGUCAGUGGUGAAAAUUUCGAGCUUAACUCGAAAACUGCCAUUGAUACUAUUAGUCUUGAAUUUAGUUGAGGUUGGCGGAAUGUGUCGUGUAGCGGUGAAAUGCUUAGAUAUGACACAGAACACCGAUUGCGAAGGCAGCUCUCUGGGACGGUACUGACACUGAGACGCGAAAGCGUGGGGAGCGAACAGG